AUGCGGCGGCCGAUGUGGCGCAGUCACACAUGGGAGCACACUCACCCAUGGACGCACAUAGCAAGGAGUAGGCGUCGAGCCUGCUGGGAGGCCGACCGCCGUCUACUUCGUCAAUCCGGCGCCAUGGAGGAACGAGGCGUGAGCUCGCCCAAACGACGCCCUCGACUUCGUCAUCAAGCUGGCGCCGCGGAGGAUCGUGGCGUGGAGCCCGGAGGCGUGAAGCUCGUGGGGAUGCCACCGCGUGCCGCGGAGUAUGGCGACACGGAGCCCGCCAGGAUGACGCCCGUCGCCUUCAUCAUCAAAUAG
rnacentral:rRNA from 1 species